UGAGUGAGACCUCUGGGAGCUCUGGUGUGU
rnacentral:piRNA from 1 species